UAAACCUGUAGCAGAGACAGGACGUGAUUUUAACUGGAGUGCUGAGCGUGGAGGGCGGGCACGGGCAGGCUGCGCUGGUGACAAAACACCCAGAGAGGAGUGAAGGCUGUGGCCACAGGACUUCUGGGAUGAGGCUGCACAGCUGACCUGAUGGAUCUGAGAGACAGAGAGAACGAGGAGGCAGCAGUUCCCACAGGCCCUGGUUCCCAGCAGAGCCUGCCCUACGUGGCGUCAGUUUCAUUUUCUGUCCCCUGUCCCCUGAUCUGUGUUCGGCUGGCUCCGUGGAGAUGAACUCAUUCUCUGCUGCUGGCAUGGGCGAAUGCCGCAGCAAGGUUGAACAUCCCCUCGCCAUCUGGGUUCCCUGGUGGCCUGAAGCCCCUGAUUAGGAACUAAAAGACCAGGCUGGCAGCUCCUGAGGCUCCUGACCUUUUCUCCACUCUUCCAUCUGCCCCGGGCUCAGACCCACCCAUCAUUCAAGGGGUACCUCCUGGCCCACCCCAGCAGGCCAACUGCCCAGAUGGAGUGUCAAGCAUCACUGAGCACACAGUUCCCUAUUCCUGCCUUGCCUGGACAAGGCUCCCAUUUCAAGCAGCUCCAAUAGGCAGUCCUCUAGCCUCUGUCUGCACACUUCCCAUGAUGGGGUGCUCACUACUUUCCAAGUUGGCAUUUCCAG
ensembl:lncRNA